GCUAACUUCGUGCCAGCAGCCGCGGUAAUACGAAGGGGGCUAGCGUUGCUCGGAAUUACUGGGCGUAAAGGGCGCGUAGGCGGAUCGUUAAGUCAGAGGUGAAAUCCCAGGGCUCAACCCUGGAACUGCCUUUGAUACUGGCGAUCUUGAGUAUGAGAGAGGUAUGUGGAACUCCGAGUGUAGAGGUGAAAUUCGUAGAUAUUCGGAAGAACACCAGUGGCGAAGGCGACAUACUGGCUCAUUACUGACGCUGAGGCGCGAAAGCGUGGGGAGCAAACAGGAUUAGAUACCCUUGUAGUC
rnacentral:rRNA from 1 species